CUGCUUGCAGGGGUACUCGAGUGGCGAACGGGUGAGUAACACGUGGGUGAUCUGCCUUGUACUCUGGGAUAAGCUUGGGAAACUGGGUCUAAUACCGGAUAGUAGCCGCCUUUAGUGUGGUGGUUGGAAAGUUUUUUCGGUGCAAGAUGAGCUCGCGGCCUAUCAGCUUGUUGGUGGGGUAAUGGCCUACCAAGGCGUCGACGGGUAGCCGGCCUGAGAGGGUGUACGGCCACAUUGGGACUGAGAUACGGCCCAGACUCCUACGGGAGGCAGCAGUGGGGAAUAUUGCACAAUGGGCGGAAGCCUGAUGCAGCGACGCCGCGUGGGGGAUGACGGCCUUCGGGUUGUAAACUCCUUUCGACAGGGACGAAGCUUUUUGUGACGGUACCUGUAUAAGAAGCACCGGCUAACUACGUGCCAGCAGCCGCGGUAAUACGUAGGGUGCGAGCGUUGUCCGGAAUUACUGGGCGUAAAGAGCUCGUAGGUGGUUUGUCGCGUCGUCUGUGAAAUUCCGGGGCUUAACUCCGGGCGUGCAGGCGAUACGGGCAUAACUUGAGUGCUGUAGGGGAGACUGGAAUUCCUGGUGUAGCGGUGAAAUGCGCAGAUAUCAGGAGGAACACCGAUGGCGAAGGCAGGUCUCUGGGCAGUAACUGACGCUGAGGAGCGAAAGCAUGGGUAGCGAACAGGAUUAGAUACCCUGGUAGUCCAUGCCGUAAACGGUGGGCGCUAGGUGUAGGGGGCUUCCACGUCUUCUGUGCCGUAGCUAACGCAUUAAGCGCCC
rnacentral:rRNA from 1 species